rnacentral:rRNA from 1 species
CAGUGCCGCGGGAAUACGUAGGGUGCGAGCGUUAAUCGGAAUUACUGGGCGUAAAGCGUGCGCAGGCGGUUUUGUAAGACAGGCGUGAAAUCCCCGGGCUCAACCUGGGAAUGGCGCUUGUGACUGCAAAGCUAGAGUGCGGCAGAGGGGGAUGGAAUUCCGCGUGUAGCAGUGAAAUGCGUAGAUAUGCGGAGGAACACCGAUGGCGAAGGCAAUCCCCUGGGCCUGCACUGACGCUCAUGCACGAAAGCGUGGGGAGCAAACAGGAUUAGAUACCCCUGUAGUCCCUGUCUCUUAUACA